rnacentral:rRNA from 1 species
UACGAAGGGGGCUAGCGUUGUUCGGAAUUACUGGGCGUAAAGCGUGCGCAGGCGGUUUCUCAAGUCAGGGGUGAAAGCCCGGAGCUCAACUCCGGAAUUGCCUUUGAAACUGUGAGACUCGAGUGCGGGAGAGGUGAGUGGAAUUCCCAGUGUAGAGGUGAAAUUCGUAGAUAUUGGGAAGAACACCGGUGGCGAAGGCGGCUCACUGGCCCGUUUCUGACGCUCAUGCACGACAGCGUGGGGAUCAAAC